rnacentral:tRNA from 1 species
UCUCUGGUGGUCCAAUGAUAAGGGCACUACACUUCCACUGCAGGGGCCAUGGGUUCGAUUCCUGGUCGGGGAU